UUUGUUCGCUCUGUUCAUGAGUACUGCAUAUGGAAAAGAUAUCCUCGUUAUACUUGAUUAAAUCUAAACAAUGUGCAAGAGCAUAUGUCAAAACAAUUUUUAGCAGGCUUUCAAGCCUGCUCCUUCUCACGAAUUGCCUUAUAGCACUGGAGACUGCAAAGAGGAAGUUUUGUCUUAGAAUCACGAUACUUGUACGGAUUCACGCAGGAAGGACCAGCACAUUGCUCACGAGGGGGAGGAUAACUGCAAGGUUUAGAGUCAAAAAUAUGAGGUAAACCCAUAUCUUCAGGAAAUGUCACAACAGUGCCGGUAGGGCCCAUAACCACUCUGAUAGUGCUUUUUGCAAGCAUCUGCUCUUUGGCAGCCUUCUCCUGAGCCAACUCUUCCUGCCGCUUCUUUAUUUUAUCUUCUCGCUUCUUCCUGUUAGAAUCUUGACCUAGGAUUUUCCUAAUUGCCUCAGCCUCUGAUUCACGAGCAGCCUUCUCAUUUUGCAUUCUACGUUUCUGAGCAGCCUCUGCUUUCUUCAGUUGCUGCUCAACAUCAGUGAGCUUCUCCUUUUGCUUUCGAGGUGGAGCCGGUGGUAAACCAUUAGGGAACUCAAUCUGACUCGCAGAAGCAGCAGCAGAAGAAUCCUUGCUAGAUAGGAGAGCUCGUUGUCGUGUUGUAAGAGUCAUUUCUCCUCUCAUCGCAUCGAUCGAUGAAUCUGAGGAUUCCUUCCUUUGUUUCUGCUUCUUUUUUCCUUCAGCCUCACCAUCAGACACGAACUCUUCCACCUCAUAAGCAGUGUCCUCAGAACCUUGCUCAGAUUUCUUCCUUGACCUUCCCACAUUUUCAUCCUUUUCAAACUUGCUAACCUUUGAAACCCGGGAAACACUUCUUUUGUUGGUCGAUUCCUCCUCAAAAUCUUUAUAUCCUGAAAUCUUCGAGGUUUUAAGCUUUUCCAAGUAUCGAAUCUCAUCAUCUUCCCCAUCCUCAUCAAACCAUUCCGAUACACGCCUCUUUGGAACCCUCUUACUCUUACGGGUCGGAUCUGAUUUGUCACCUCCUUUUUCAAAGGCAUUCGUCAUUGGCAUCUUCCCCAUAUCGCCUCCUUUGCCAGCAGCAAAAGAACCCUUGGGCGAAUCUCUUGACAUAAUUCCUUGCAACCCACUUUUCUUUUCCGAAAGACCGUCUUUGCUUGAUGUGUCCUGUGAAGUAGAUUUCUGACGUGGCUGCGAACCAUCCAAGGCUCGUGCAUUUGUAGACAAACCACCACCAUAUGCACCAUGAGAAUCAGUUUUGGUUUGAAUGGUGCGCGUCACACCCCCAACUUUAAGCUUAACCUUCUUCAGCUUGUUAUCAUUGCCAACACCAUCCUGCACAGUUCCUGUUUGCCUAAGAGAGGAGCCAUACUGGGAAUAUGUAUCAUCUCCUGGAUCUCCAUUACUAUAUAACAGACUAGAUCCUCCAUCCUUAUUCUUCUUAAAAGUGUAGUCCUCAUCCACUCUGGAAACAGAGCCUCUAGACAUGCAAUGAUUAAGGUUGAACAUUUUACGUCCAGCAUUGGCAUCAUCAAUGUUCUCAUCACUAGAAACCCUACCAAAAUCAUCUGAAACUGGUGUUAAGGGAGACUGAUCACGGCCUUCAUGAAAAAAAGGCUUCUCUGGUCUAGGUCGCCGCAACAUUAGGCUUCUUUUCUUUCUAACAGUAGCAUUGAGCCCUUCAAAUCGAGUUCCACCAGACUCAUCCAUGACAUGUAAAACAACUAGGGCCACCAGGAACACGUGUAUUAAUCGCGGCAAAAAGACAACUUGCUAAAUGAGUUUGUUCAUUGUUGCACCAAACAGGAAACUUGAGAAUGGCAGAGAACCGAG
rnacentral:misc_RNA from 1 species